UACAGAGGUCUCAAGCGUUGUUCGGAUUCAUUGGGCGUAAAGGGUGCGUAGGUGGCGCUGUAAGUCGGGUGUGAAAUUUCGGAGCUUAACUCCGAAACUGCAUUCGAUACUGCGGUGCUUGAGGACUGGAGAGGAGACUGGAAUUCAUGGUGUAGCAGUGAAAUGCGUAGAGAUCAUGAGGAAGACCAGUGGCGAAGGCGGGUCUCUGGACAGUUCCUGACACUGGAGGCACGAAGGCCAGGGGAGCAAACAGG
rnacentral:rRNA from 1 species